rnacentral:rRNA from 1 species
AACGAACGCUGGCGGCAGGCUUAACACAUGCAAGUCGGACGCAUCCUUCGGGGUGAGUGGCAGACGGGUGAGUAACGCGUGGGAACGUGCCCUUCAAUUCGGGAUAACCCAGGGAAACUUGGGCUAAUACCGGAUACGUGCGAGAGCAGAAAGAUUUAUCGCUGAAGGAUCGGCCCGCGUCUGAUUAGCUAGUUGGUGGGGUAAUGGCCCACCAAGGCGACGAUCAGUAGCUGGUCUGAGGGGAUGAUCAGCCACAUUGGGACUGAGACACGGCCCAAACUCCUACGGGAUGCAGCAGUGGGUAAUAUUGGACAAUGGGCGCAAGCCUGAUCCAGCCAUACCGCGUGAGUGAUGAAGGCCUUAGGGUUGUAAAGCUCUUUCGUCCGGGACGAUAAUGACGGUACCGGAAGAAGAAGCCCCGGCUAACUUCGUGCCAGCCGCCGCCGUAA